GAUGGAACGCAGCGAAAUGCGAUAAGUAAUGUGAAUUGCAGAAUUCAGUGAAUCAUCGAAUCUUUGAACGCACAUUGCGCCCUCUGGUAUUCCGGGGGGCAUGCCUGUUCGAGCGUCAUUACAACCCUCAAGCUCUGCUUGGUAUUGGGCUCUGCCGGUCCUGGCAGGCCUCAAAGUCAGUGGCGGUGCCAUCCGGCUCCAAGCGUAGUAAUUCUUCUCGCUUCGGAGGCCGCGGUGCGUGCUAGCCAGCAACCCCCAAUUUUUUUCAGGUUGACCUCGGAUCAGGUAGGGAUACCCGCUGAACUUAAGCAUAUCAAUAAGCGGAGGA
rnacentral:misc_RNA from 1 species